CAGCCAGUCCAGUGCCGUUACAAAUUUAGUUGAGUUGCAUUUUUUUUUUUUAUUGGAAGUAUUGUUGAGAUGAACAUUUUUGGCACAUAGUUUUUUAUUUGGUUAUGAUUUUUUCCUUAGGCUAGUUUCCAAAGGUAGAAUUUUAAUGUUCAAAGAAACCUAAGUUAUAAGAUCCUAGAUAGAAAUUUUCAAAAUCACUGUCUAAAGGGAUUGUGGUUAUUUUUGUCAGGACUGGCAGUGUAUCAGAAUUCCUGUUUUAUUUUAACCCUUUAGCAUUGACCUUGCUUAAAUUUUCAGAAGUUUUUGCUAAUUGAGUAUUUAAAAACACACGAAUUCUACACUUCUUUGAUACUAUAGGUCAACCCAUUUGACCACUGAUUUUUGCUUACUUUUUAUACUAUUUUAAUCAAAUUUUAGAGUAGCAGCAGUGUGUUAUGGGCACAUGAGGAGAGCUUAAUAGAUGCUUGUUCCUUGAGUAUUGUAUGUAGGUAAGACAUCAUGUGAAAUUAUUCUUUUUUGAACACUUUCUAGUUUGACUCCCUUUAUACCAUUAUAAUUAAAAAAACAAACAAACCAUAAGUUCUCUUGAAAUGAGGUUACUGUGACUCUGAGAAAUGUAUAGCACAUCAGUUCUUUUACUAUGUGUAAGCUUUAGAUAAUGUCACUUUCAAGUCUCUGAGGGUCAUCCUGACUGUAAGACGAGUACAAGUAACCAAUUUGUCUAGUUAUAGGUGUUUUCUUCUCAUUUACUAAAUAUUCUCAUUAAAUGCUUUUUUUCCUUAAUUUUUUUUCUCUCUCUUUUGUAUGCACUGUGCUGUCUCUUCCUGCCAGCUUGUAGAAAAGAGAAACCGUAGUCUGCAUCAAUAACUUUUUUUCUUCUUUCUGAAGAGUGAAACAAGUGUGUUUUAGAAACAGUGGCUAAGGAUCCGAAGGACUCGAGAAUACCAGUCCGCUUUUCUGCUGUAGGAAAAAGGGCAUUAUGAUGUUGAUCCUUGUUGAGUGUUGGGUGUCUUCCUCAGUGUCAGGCACAUGAUAGGGUAAUUAAUUGAUGCUCAUUGGGAUAGUUGAGCAUGAUUCUUUACAACAGGGAUCAGAUACUGUUUUAUUUACAUAUUGUGUGUAAUAGAUAGCUUAUACUUUAUACAUUUUACAUUUAUAUAUAAAUUACUUACAUGCUUUAUAGAUACAAAGCAAGGAUCAGGUAUCUUAGUUAAUAGCAUAUAGUAUGUAAAUAUAAUUUGUAUGUAAAAUUCCUUUAUAGUGCAUAAUAUAGGCAGAUUGGGUAGAAAGGUUAGUGGUUACAAGGAAAAAUGCGAUGUUCUUCAUCUCCUUAUGAAAUGAGAAAAAGGUAACAUAAUAAAGGUGUUUGAAGACUUAUUAAUGAAAAGUUCUCAAAUUAUUUUUAGACUUAGUGUAUUUACUUACAAUAAUGCUAACUGUUGCAUAAUGAUGAUAUCUUAAGAUAUAUAGUGCUCAACCAUUAGAAAAAAUAGAAGUAAAUUUCAUAUUCACAUACAGUUCACAAGAGUUUUUCUGACUGGUGGAUGGUUCUUGGGUUAAUGAUUCAAGGACCUGGGCUGAUCUUAUUUUAUGGCUCCAUCAUUUUACAUGUACGGCUUCCAUGGUCCUUAUGUGCUUCAAGCCAGCUGAGGGGAGGGAGCAGGGAAAUUGCACAUUGGAAGUUCUCAUGGUCCAGGCCUGGAGCGGCUGCCCGUAUUUUGCCCACAUCUCAUUGGCUGGAACUCAUUCAUAGGUCCUCAGGUACCUGGCAGGGACUGGGAAUAUAGUAUGUGUGCUUGCCCAUAGAUAGUCAACUUCAUCUCAGUCUUCCUUCAUCACUGUUGCUUUUCAUUCAUGAAUAAAAUGACUCCAGUAGGGCUAUCACACCCCAGUCUGGGCUGAUUCCUAAGAGAAUUAAUGGCUCUUUUAAAAAUCAAGGUUAUACUGAAUGUUGGAGUACAAAAUUCCUAAGUUUAAGAACUGCUAAGCCUUGAUACCUUGGUCAUGACAACUUUCUCCAGGGCCAGGGAGGGAACUUUUGAAUCCAAAUAUUUUCUCUGUAGAAAAGGCCCACCCACAAUAACAUUCAUUCGCAGAAGGAAAUGAUUUAUUGCUCCCUGUGAAUAAGUGCCAAAAAAAGUUUUCUACUGAAAUGUGGUGCCAGUGUUUCCAUAUAAACACAAUUUUACUAUAUUCGGAGAUGUGGAAAUUUAUUUUUUCCAUAGGAUUUAUAGGCUUUGAGAUGGAAAGGGUCCUCAUAAAGGCCUCGUGCUGUUUGAAAACUUGAAAAUGUUGAGUUUUUAUAGUUCAAAAAUGUGUGCUAUAGAAAUGAUAGCAGCGAUAUAUAGAGGACAUGUAAAGCUUUUUUCUUCUAGGUUACUUGGUAUGCUCGGCCAAGAUAUUGUUUUAUAUUCUCAUUCAUUAAACAAAUAUUUAUUGGGCACCAGCUGUGUGUUGUGUGAGGGGCACACAUUUAUUUCCCUAGUUCUCUGGAAUUUCAAGUCAGUUCGGGGAGAGAAGCUCUUUAUCUAUGAACCUAACACGUAAUCAAUCAUGCUACAGGGGAAAUGGUGAAGGUGGAAGAGAAUGAUGUUUUUAGGGGCAUUUUGAAGUUUUCAUCAACUAACAUAGCAAAUUGCUUUUGAAUAAUCUCAAUUGGUAUUUACCUGGAAUAGAAGGAGAGUAUUUAGGGCAAAGAGGUACAGGUUUUAACCAUUCAUAACAUGAUUGGGAUCCUGGAAUUCGUUGUGAAAGGCUGAGUGUUUGGCAGUUUGGGGAGGAAUUGUGCCUUUCCCUAUAGGUUGGACUGGUUUUCGCAGGUCCAUAUUGAGGCUUUUUGCUUUUUUCUGUAGGCACUAGAUAUCUCUGUGUGAGUUUUUAAUUUGGACGAUGAUACGCUCCGUAUCUUAGAGAAUCUUGUUAGUUCUGCAAAUGGUGUGUUAAUGUUGGAAAGACCAGAGACAGGGGAGAGAGGACGAGGGCAGUUCCCUGGAGCGGAGAGCUCAAAAUGACUGGGAAAGAGAGGCCACAAGUAGAAUUGCCAAAAGUUUGUCAUCAGUUAGUCUCUGAAAGGGUCUCUUUUUUUGGUUUGUCAUGAGAAAUGGAAAAGAUAAUGGUAAGUAAAAUUGAAUGGUAUAUUUGACCAAGUUUUAAUAAAUUAAUUUUAAAUACAGUUGAUAGAUUUUUACAUUAUAUAUCAAAUACAGGAAAAAUAAAAAAUAUACAAGAAGAUGAAGACAACUUUUCAUUUUUUCGUUUUUAUUUUUUGUUGUUGCUUUUUAGCACUGCAGGUGCAGCAUAUGGAGGUUCCCAGGCUAGGGGUCAAAUCAGAGCUACAGCUGCUGGCCUACACCACAGCUCACAGCAAUGCCGGCUCCUUAACCCACUGAGCGAGUCCAUGGAUUGAACUCGCAUCCUCAUGGAUACUGGUCGGGUUCGUUUCUGCUGAGCCACAAGGGAACUCUUGAAGAUACCUUGGAUUACUGCUUACUGUGAUAAUAAUUAUUUUCCUCUAAGGCCUCUUCCCUCGCUCCAUCCCACAUAAGGAUUUUAACCAUUGUUCUAAUUUUAGUAUCAGCGUGGUUAAUUAUCUGACUAUUUAGAGAAGAUCUGCGUAUGCUCAGAGAAGCAUGACCUAUAAAACUCCUGCCAGUAUGGAGUCGAAUGUUCUCCGGAGGGAGACAGAUAACACAUCAAGUAAGAAACUCUGCACACAGUGGCAGGUGGUCCUAGCAGCUACAGGGAAAAGCGAGGCAGGGCACGGGGCCUGGCAACGACGGAAAGUCUGUCCUCUACGGAGGGACCAGGGAGGGCCUCGCAGGCAGCGUGUGAGGAGGGACCCGACCGUGGGAGCAGAUGAGCUCUUUGGGUUCCAGGGAAGGGAUGUUCAAGUAGAGGGAGCAGCCGGUGCCUAGACUGAGGUGCAAAGCUGUGAGGCCUGUAGGUGAGGGACCCCAGGGGUGGCAGGGAGCCUGGAAGAGGAUAGCAGAGGGGAGGGGAGGAAGUCUGAGAGCGAGACGGCGGCCACGUCACUGCCCCAGUGUGGGCCGCUGUGGGGAUGUUGGCCAUUUUUCUUGAGUUAAACAGGAUGUAACAUCUGAAGUUGGGAAAGGAGAGCCUGGGCUGUGAUGUUGAGGGCAGAGUGUAGUGGGCUAGGGUGGGAGGUGGCGAGGGCACUCACUCAGCCAUCCAGGUAAGAGAGAAAAUGGUGACUUGGAGCAGAGUGGCGGGGGGCUGGGGGGUGAGAGAUGGUCCCACCGAGACCACAGGUGCAGACAGGCUGUGUGUGUGGUCCGACAGAGCGCGGUUGAGCAUGGAAAAGUGAGCUUUUCCCCUGGUGUAACUGGAAGAAUGGACUUAGCAACACCAAGACGGGGAGGGCAAGAAUCAGGAGCUUAGUUUUGGGGCAUCAUUAAGUUGCUGUGUCUGUAAGACAUAAAGGUGGAAGUCCCAGGCGGGCAGUUGCCAAGGAAACGACCUUGGACGUCAGAAGGUCAGAGGUGAAGUUUGAAGACGUUUUGAUUGUAUUUGGA
rnacentral:lncRNA from 1 species